rnacentral:rRNA from 1 species
GAUGAACGCUGGCGGCGUGCCUAAUACAUGCAAGUCGAGCGGUAAGGCCUCUUCGGAGGUACACGAGCGGCGGACGGCUGAGUAACACGUAGGAACGUACCCCAAACUAAGGGAUAAGCACCAGAAAUGGUGUCUAAUACCGCAUGUGCUCUAAGGAGUAAAGCUUCGGCGGUUUGGGAGCGGCCUGCGUCCGAUUAGCUUGAUGGUGAGGUAAUGGCUCACCAUGGCGACGAUCGGUAGCUGGUCUGAGAGGAUGAUCAGCCAGACUGGGACUGAGAACGGCCCAGACUCCUACGGGAGGCAGCAGUAGGGAAUUUUCCACAAUGGGCGAAAGCCUGAUGGAGCAACGCCGCGUGCAGGAUUAAGGCCUUCGGGUUGUAAACUGCUUUUAUUUGUGACGAAUAUGACGGUAGCAAAUGAAUAAGGAUCGGCUAACUCCGUGCCAGCAGCCGCCGCCG